rnacentral:lncRNA from 1 species
GGAGAGGGAGGAAGAGGGAAGAUGGCGGCGGCCGUGAACCAGCGUGGCCUUAACCAGCCAUAGUUAUGAUAUUAUAAGGCUCCUUUCCAUGUAGACCUGUGGGUGUCUGCCUGACCUGUAGUCUGAAGAUGCUCUUUCUGAAGUCUUAGGAGGGCCCCUCAGUGAGGAUGCCCGAAGCUGAAGGCUUUACUUCUGUUUCAAGAGGAUCCAAGCGGCUCCCAGCACCCACGCCAGGUGGCUCCCAAGGACGUGUAACUUCCCUUCCAGGGGAUCCAGGUACACAAUGCAGACGCAACAUAUAAUCAAAAAAAUAUAGAUGUAUAAAAAGAAGCUGAGGCUAGCUCCUUCUCCCCACGCUCCUUCCCUCCCAACGGGAAUGGCAGGGGCUUCUCUCAAACCUACUUUACAUGUACUGCAGCCACAACUACUUACGUUACUGGUGAAAAAACAUACUCAAAAGAGCAUGACGUUACUCUUCAACCAGCUACACAGUGAAGCCAAUUUGAAAGCCCAAAGAGCCGGGCAGUGGUGGCGCACAGCUUUAAUCCCAGCACUUGGGAAGCAGAGGUAGACGGAUUUUUGAGUUCGAUGCCAGCCUGGUCUACAGAGUGAGCUCCAGGACAGCCAGGGCUACACAGAGAAACCCUGUCUCGAGAAACCCCAAAAGAGAUAAAGACGAAAGCCCAAAGAGCCUCUGGCAUCCAUAUUGGACUGGAUGUGUCAUCACUAUCACCAUCAUCAACACCACCACCACCACCAGCAGCAGCAGCAACAAAGAUAAACUCACUUGUUAGAGUGAAGACUAACAGGAUUACCAGAAGGAGCCACCUACUCAGUGCAGUGAACAAGACGUGUGGUCUGAAGAUACACAACACCGAGACAGGACUGUGUGGUGCUCACAUGCCACGAGCAGAGUUCAAACAGCAUCCAAGCCCUAAAGACCAGAGCCAUGGACCAAUAUGGUGGAUGGCAUGUGUGCGCUUGUUCCAGAAGUGCUACUCAUCAUGGAGGCAAAUCCUGUGAGGACGUGGAAGACUUCACCUGGUUUCUCCGCUUUCCUCCCGGUGACACGGGGGAUACUUCGGGCAGAUACUGAACUGUCUGCUGCCAUUUACAGCCACAGUUACAUGGGAUUGUUUGUUCCUUCCCUGGGCUUCUACCUCUUCCUUGACUGGAACAGAAGCUAGGUGCUUAGAUAAACCUGGUCAAAUAUUUUAAAUCAGGAUUCUCUUUUUUUCUCAGCCUAAGAGCUUAAGUGGCUAUUUAUGUAGUUUUAUAAAUAAAAAAAAAAUUUUUUUAA